AUGAACGCUGGCGGUGUGCCUAACACAUGCAAGUCGAACGCGCAGUCCCCGGUGCUUGCAUUGGGGGCGGGCGAGUGGCGAACGGGUGCGUAACGCGUGGGAACCUACCCCGAGGUGUGGGACAACAGUUGGAAACGACUGCUAAACCCGCAUAAUCUCGUGCAAGCGAGGAAAACCUUGGUGCCUUGGGAGGGGCCCGCGGCCUAUCAGGUAGUUGGUGAGGUAACGGCUCACCAAGCCGACGACGGGUAGGGGGCGUGAGAGCGUGGCCCCCCACACGGGAACUGAGACACGGUCCCGACGCCUACGGGCGGCAGCAGUGAGGAAUCUUGCCCAAUGGGGGAAACCCUGAGGCAGCGACACCGCGUGCGGGAUGAAGGCCUUCGGGUCGUAAACCGCUUUUCUGGGGGACGAGGAAGGACGGUACCCCAGGAAUAAGUCCCGGCUAACUACGU
rnacentral:rRNA from 1 species